rnacentral:sRNA from 1 species
AAAGCCUACAGGACCUGAUAUUCCCAGGUGGUCUCCCAUCCAAGUACUAAUCAGAUCCAACACUGCUUAAUUUCAGAGAUCAGACUAGAUC